AUUGAACGCUGGCGGCAGGCCUAACACAUGCAAGUCGAACGAGUGGCGGACGGGUGAGUAAUGUCUGGGAAACUGCCUGAUGGAGGGGGAUAACUACUGGAAACGGUAGCUAAUACCGCAUACCAUCGGAUGUGCCCAGCUGGGAUUAGCUAGUAGGUGGGGUAAAGGCUCACCUAGGCGACGAUCCCUAGCUGGUCUGAGAGGAUGACAAGCCACACUGGGACUGAGACACGGUCCAGACUACGACGGGAGGCAGCAGUGGGGAAUAUGGCACAAUGGGCGCAAGACUGAUGCAGCCAUGCCGCGUGUAUGAAGAAGGCCUUCGGGUUGUAAAGGACUUUCAGCGGGGAGGCGGUACCAGAAGAAGAAGCACCGGCUAACUCCGUGCCAGCCGCCGCGGUAAUAC
rnacentral:rRNA from 1 species